rnacentral:rRNA from 1 species
UACGUAGGGGGCAAGCGUUGUCCGGAUUUAUUGGGCGGAAAGAGCGUGUAGGCGGCCAUGUAGGUCCGUUGUGAAAACUCGAGGCUCAACCUCGAGACGCCGAUGGAAACCAUGUGGCUAGAGUCCGGAAGAGGAGAGUGGAAUUCCUGGUGUAGCGGUGAAAUGCGCAGAUAUCAGGAGGAACACCCGUGGCUAAGGCGGCUCUCUAGUACGGUACUGACGCUGAGACGCGAAAGCGUGGGGAGCGAACAGG